rnacentral:rRNA from 1 species
GGAUUAGGCAUGCAAGUCGCACGAGAAAGGCUUCUUCGGAAGCCGAGUAAAGUGGCGAACGGGUGAGUAAUGCAUAGACAACUUGCCCUUGAGAUGGGGACAACGCCUCGAAAGGGGUGCUAAUACCCAAUGCCGCCUUGGGCCUGCGGGUCCAGGGUGAAAGGAGGCCUCUGAUUCAAGCUUCCGCUCAAGGAGAGGUUUAUGUCCUAUUAGCUAGUUGGCGGGGUAACGGCCCACCAAGGCUGCGAUGGGUAGCCGACCUGAGAGGGUGACCGGCCACAUUGGGACUGAGACACUGCCCAGACUCCUACGGGAGGCUGCAGUCGAGAAUCUUCCGCAAUGCGCGCAAGCGUGACGGAGCGACGCCGCGUGGGUGAUGAAGGCCUUCGGGUUGUAAAACCCUGUCAGCUACUACGAAACACGGGCGAUGAACAAUCGUCCCGUCUGACUUAAGUAGCAGAGGAAGCACCGGCUAACUACGUGCCAGCAGCCGCGGUAAUACGUAGGGUGCAAACGUUGUUCGGAAUCACUGGGCAUAAAGGGCGCGUAGGCGGUCUGAUAAGUCAGGUGUGAAAUCCCUCGGCCUAACCGAGGAACUGCAUUUGAUACUGUCGGGCUAGAGUACAGGAGGGGAGAGUGGAAUUCCUGGUGGAGCGGUGAAAUGCGUAGAUAUCAGGAGGAACGCCGGCGGCGAAAGCGACUCUCUGGCCUGUUACUGACGCUGAGGCGCGAAAGCUAGGGGAGCAAACGGGAUUAGAUACCCCGGUAGUCCUAGCCCUAAACGAUGGGCACUAAGUAGAGGGGUUUU